rnacentral:rRNA from 1 species
UACAGAGGGUGCGAGCGUUACUCGGAAUUACUGGGCGUAAAGGGCGCGUAGGCGGCUAAAUAAGUUAGGUGUGAAAUCCCUGGGCUUAACCUAGGAAUGGCACUUGAUACUGUUUGGCUAGAGUAGAGUAGAGGGAAGUGGAAUUUCCGGUGUAGCGGUGAAAUGCGUAGAUAUCGGAAAGAACAUCAGUGGCGAAGGCGGCUUUCUGGACUUAUACUGACGCUGAGGCGCGAAAGCAUGGGUAGCAAACAGG